rnacentral:tRNA from 1 species
GCCCCCAUAGCCCAAUCGGCAGAGGCAGGAGACUUAAAAUCUCUGUGUUGUGGGUUCGAGUCCCACUGGGGGUA